rnacentral:lncRNA from 1 species
UCAUCUAUCUUUCUAGAGAAGAGACUCAUUAAGGAUUUUAAUAAUAUAAAUUAUAACCCAUAAUUAUUUUUAUACAAUUAUUAAUGAUUUUCUCAAAUCGAAAUAGGGGAUCACAAAGUCAUUCAGACUCUGGCUCACAACAAUUUAAAUAUCUCAUAAUAUAAAUUUCAAUUGCAUAUACCGUUUCUUAUAUGUGAAACUAGACUCAUUGGGCUUUAAC